rnacentral:rRNA from 1 species
GGAAUGAAAGAAGUAACUUAUAAUAAUAUUUUAAUUAAUUUAAAUUAAAUUAAAUUUUUAGGUAAAAAUGCCUAGUUGAUAUUAAGGGACGAUAAGACCCUAAAAAAUUUAAUUUAAUUUUAGUUUUAUAAUUUUAUAUAAAUAGUAUUAAUUAAAAUAAAUUUUAACUGGGGUAGUUAAAAUAUUAUAUUUGUUUUUUAUAAAUGCAAAUAUAAAAGGUUAAUGGAUCUUUUAUAUAAAAGUAUUAAAAUCAGUUACUUUAGGGAUAACAGCGUAAUAAAAUUAUAAAGAUCUUAUUGAUAAUUUUGAUUACGACCUCGAUGUUGAAUUAAAGAAUCUUUAUAAAGCAAAAAUUAUAAGGGAUGGUCUGUUCGACCAUUAAAUCUUUACAUGAUUUGAGUUC